UCUAGGUUGAUUCACAAGGAGUCUUAAAAUGUUCUAUUGAUCAUGGACAGACCGCUGUGUGUGUGUGUGUACGUAGACUGGUUCUGAGCCUCUGCACUAUACAGUCACGAGACCAGAGAGGGAGGGGCUAGGUCUGAUGCCAUACAGUCACGAGACCAGAGAGGGUCAGGGCUAGGUCUGAUGCUAUACAGUUACGAGACCAGAGAGGGUCAGGGCUAGGUCUGAUGCCAUACAGUCACGAGACCAGAGAGGGUCAGGGAUAGGUCUGAUGCUAUACAGUCACGAGACCAGAGAGAGUCAGGGCUAGGUCUGAUGCCAUACAGUCACGAGACCAGAGAGGGUCAGGGAUAGGUCUGAUGCUAUACAGUCACGAGACCAGAGAGGGUCAGGGCUAGGUCUGAUGCUAUACAGUCACGAGACCAGAGAGGGGAGGGGCUAGGUCUGAUGGUAUACAGUCACGAGACCAGAGAGGGAGGGGCUAGGUCUGAUGCUAUACAGUCACGAGACCAGAGAGGGUCAGGGCUAGGUCUGAUGGUAUACAGUCACGAGACCAGAGAGGGAGGGGCUAGGUCUGAUGCUAUACAGUCACGAGACCAGAGAGGGUCAGGACUAGGUCUGAUGCUAUACAGUCACGAGACCAGAGAGGGUCAGGACUAGGUCUGAUGCCAUACAGUCACGAGACCAGAGAGGGAGGGGCUAGUACUGUAUGGAGGAGGAGGGGUCAGAGAGAGGGAGGGGCUAGUACUGUAUGGAGGAGCUAGUACUGUAUGGAGGAGUAGGGGUCAGAGAGGGGAGGGGCUAGUACUGUAUGGAGGAGGAGGGGUCAGAGAGAGGGAGGGGCUCGUACUGUAUGGAGGAGGAGGGGUCAGAGAGAGGGAGGGGCUAGUACUGUAUGGAGGAGCUAGUACUGUAUGGAGGAGGAGGGGUCAGAGAGAGGGAGGGGCUAGUACUGUAUGGAGGAG